UACGGAGGGUGCGAGCGUUGUCCGGAAUCACUGGGCGUAAAGGCGCGUAGGCGGCCUGAUAAGUAGGGGGUGAAAUCCUGCGGCUUAACCGCAGGGCUGCCUUCUAAACUGUCAGGCUGGAGCACAGUAGAGGCAGGUGGAAUUCCCGGUGUAGCGGUGGAAUGCGUAGAUAUCGAGAGGAACACCUGCGGCGAAGGCGGGUUGCUGGGCUGACACUGACGCUGAGGCGCGAAAGCUAGGGGAGCGAACGGG
rnacentral:rRNA from 1 species